rnacentral:rRNA from 1 species
CCUACGGGAGGCAGCAGUGAGGAAUUUUGCACAAUGGGCGAAAGCCUGAUGCAGCAACACCGCGUGAUUGAUGAAGUUUUUAGGAAUGUAAAAAUCUGUCGUAAGGGAAGAAAUGUUUCGGAUGUUAAUACCAUCUGUUACUGACGGUACCUUACAAGAAAGGACCGGCUAACUUCGUGCCAGCAGCCGCGGUAAU